AGGCAAAGCAUAUUUACUUGUUGAGCUUGGCUCUACCAUGCUACGUAAGGCGAUUUAACUUAAUUCCUCUCUUGUACCUAUAAAAAUUAAAAUCAUAUCAGGUCACCAGCUUCUGUCCAGCAAUUCAAUUCUGAACUGAGGAAGAUAUUACACAUUUUUCAGAUCGAAUAUUACUUUAUUUAGUACCGCAAUUUAUUCGGUGCGUGCGUGCGUUACAGCGAUCCAGAAUGGCAGAGCAAAUUUUGAAAGGACCACGCCACCAGCACAUAAAAAUACCAUUUUCAUAACUCCUAGAAUUUCCGGCAUAACUGUUAGUUAAUCCUGGUGCUUUUAUUCAACGUAAAAUACCACGUUAUCAUACGGUAUUCUCAUAGUGCACCCUACACUCGCGCGCGCAUUGUACCUAUCUACCUACAUUUCGUAGAUAAGCGAAACAAAAGCCCUCCUUCAAAAGGGAUAGUGGAAAAAUCCAGGAGAUAAUGAGUGUAUUAUCAGUUUGUAUAACGAAAUGAAUGCUUUGUCACAAAUGGGAUCUGCCUGCCAAAUUCCAAUAGAUUUUUUUACCAAAACAGUCUUUUAAAAGAGCUGUAUUUACCUAGGUUGUAAACGUUUAGAGUAAAUACCAUGAUGAACUGUGCCUCUACCAUGAGUUGCCAUCGAAAACUUGUAUUCGUAUACUACAGUCGAUAGAGUUUAAACGUGGAUCGAUGAAGUUUGCAUUAAAAUCAUACCAUGAGUUCAAUUACCGUAUACUUUACUCGCCAGCGAUAAUUCGAUGGUUUUGUGAUGUUAUGUUGGUGAACAUGUUAACGUAUCCAACUUCACACUCUAUGAAUGGAUGAAUGAAAGAACGAAUGCCGCUCCUUUCUAACUAUAUAGAAAAGAUAGAGUAGGAAAUAACAAAAAUGUCAAAAAUAACACUGCAAAAUUUAAGUGUCCUAGAACAGUGCUUAAAGCUGAAUUAACAUGAUGAUUUUAAAUUUGUAUUGUUUAUUUCUUGUCAUUGCGACUUUGACGCAGCUGUUGUCAUGACAACAGAUAACAAAACAUGUUUUGUUGAAGGAUUAUUGAUGAAUAAUUUUCCACAAAAAAUUGGAUUUUAACCACGAUAGGAAAAUGAGAACCUGCGACUAUCCGUUUAAACCGAUUGUAGAAUUUAUGGAAAGAUAUGGCGAUCUGAGUAAGCCCACUGAAGGGCCCCAAGAAAGAGCCAACAAUAGUCAACAGUGGGUGGAACUAACGGACACGCGAACGUGAAAUGCUGAUGCCACUGGCGACACGAAAACUACUGACAAAUUGAGAAAAGUGUGGAGUGACUUUAAACAUCAAGAAGAAGGCAACUCGCAUACACAGAGCUGCCAAGGGAACACUGGACUGGUGGCGGUCCAGGUUCUACCCUGAAGCCAAAGGAUU